UGUUAUAAAUUAGUGGACACUGGGUAUUGAAAACUGCAGAUAGGUGUCCCAAAUUCACCAUUUUAGGACCUCUCCCCCUCUCUUUCUCUCUCAUUUUCUUGAGGUAGUUAGGCUUAAUUUCUAGCUAGAGUUAUAGUAGUGGCAUCGAAGGAAGAGAAGGGGUGUGUGUGAGCAAGAUGGAGAAGCAGGGCACGUGCACUACUAACUCAUGCACACAGAGAGGGAGACGCAUUUCUUGCUGGAGUUACGAGUUACGACUCUUACCUACUAUUGAUUUUGUUAGCUCCAGUGAGUUAGUUAUUCAUGUGCCUGUCUUCCUCAUCAUGAUCACUACCACACCUAGCUAUAUUGCUCCAUCUCGGGCACUUCGAGUAGGAGAAUCUCCAGUUCAGGUGCUGAAUCCAUGCAUGCAGGGUUAGCUUCCUUUUCUCUACUCCUUCCACCAUUAAUUAAGUGGUAGAGGUUGUUAAAGAGGGUGUCUGUCAAUGCUGCUCUCAUUCUUCACCAAUAAGAAGAAUUAGGGAAACAUGGAGCAAACCAACUGAGGCCUGAUUUUCCAAGAAACGUGUGGGAUAUAGCACUUUGGGGGCUACCAUGUAGGGGACAGUACAAGAUAGCAGCAAAAGCCACCGUAUAAAAUGUCUCUGUUCCGUCAAAAUAUGUAGCUCUUUUCCCUCUCAUCCUCGUCGGAAUGACAAUGAAAUGCCAUUCACAGCAUCUUGCCUUCUUAUUAGAAAAUGAUAUAUGGCCUUUUACAUGUAAUGCAUAUCUUUCGUUUUGCUCUUUGCUCCUUCGUUAAGUUAUCAUUUUCACUUUUUCAACGAUUAUAUAUGUUGCCUUUUAUAUGUAACGUAAAUCUUUCAUUUU